rnacentral:tRNA from 1 species
AGAGGAUUGGCGAAGUGGCCUAACGCACUGGGUUUUGAUCCCAGCAUUCCUUGGUUCGAAUCCAAGAUCCUCUUCCA